CCUGGGGUGGCAGCAGUGGGGAAUAUUGGACAAUGGGCGAAAGCCUGAUCCAGCCAUGCCGCGUGUGUGAAGAAGGCCUUCGGGUUGUAAAGCACUUUCAGUGGGGAAGAAAGCCUUGGGGCUAAUACCCUCGAGGAAGGACAUCACCCACAGAAGAAGCACCGGCUAACUCCGUGCCAGCAGCCGCGGUAAUACGGAGGGUGCGAGCGUUAAUCGGAAUUACUGGGCGUAAAGCGCGCGUAGGCGGUCUGAUAAGCCGGUUGUGAAAGCCCCGGGCUCAACCUGGGAACGGCAUCCGGAACUGUCAGGCUAGAGUGCAGGAGAGGAAGGUAGAAUUCCCGGUGUAGCGGUGAAAUGCGUAGAGAUCGGGAGGAAUACCAGUGGCGAAGGCGGCCUUCUGGACUGACACUGACGCUGAGGUGCGAAAGCGUGGGUAGCAAACAGGAUUAGAUACCCGGGUAGUC
rnacentral:rRNA from 1 species